GUGAAAUAGAAACAUGAAGUGAAGUGAACGUUAGAAAAAAAAAAUAUAUAUAUAUAUAUAAAAAUGAAACAAAAAGACAAACAUACAUUGAAAAUAACAAUGACAUAACGUUAAUGUUCACUGUUAACAAAUAUAAAUUGCACACUCAUUGGAAGAGAAAUAAAACCAAUAUGGAUUAAGAAUACAGAGUGGAUACAUCCGGUUACUGAGUAAAGAGGCUACGCACCGGGAAGCAUACGCAAGGGGAAGGUACACGUUUAGGUUUCUCAAGGACACUGUGGGUUGAGCAUUUACAAGAUGCAUCAGAUCGACAGACUCCUCGCACGGC